rnacentral:pre_miRNA from 10 species
AUACAUAUACACACACACGUGUGUGUGUAUAUGUGUAUGCAUAUACACACACACGUGUGUAUGUGUGUAUGUGUG